AAUUCCUAUCAGUGGGUUCCUGGCCCCGCCCCUUCUCCACCCCUUCAGUCUGAGCUCUCACCCAGGGGCAACGCCCCUUUCUGGCACUAUUUCCUUGCCUCUUCACCACUUCUGUUGCCAGGAGGCUGCUGGCCAUCCCACCAACUGACCCAAGCCCGCUGACCUCCAGCUUGCUCUAUUUCAUUAGCUUGUGGGCCUGUGUAGGGAGGCUGUAGGCUUGCCAGAGCACUGACAGACCCAGAACACAUCCUAAAGACAUACAGCCUGAGGGAUCCCAGCACUCAGGACCAGUCCAACAAUAGGUUCAAUUUCAAAUUAGAAGUGGCAGCAAAGUCUAGCUCAUGGUAGAACCUCAGAGAAAUCCCUAGACAACACAUGAGGUGAUGUACCAGGGGACCCAAUCUGCAGGACAGAAAAAGACGCCCUUCCACCUACAUGGCUGGCCAGACCCACCCCUGCCAAUAGCAUGCCAUUGGCUCCCACAUAACAAAAACAAGUCUUGGGCCACACCACACACAGGGGUGAGAGCCAAGUGGCUACAGCAGGGAAAGGCCAGGCUUCCACAGCUGAGCCCAAAUAAUCAUUUUCCCCACGGGGCAGGGUAAAGGUUAAAGAAGCCUUGAGGUGAAGGUCAGGAGGCUGUAGAGAAAUUUAGGGACAAAAAAACCCCAAAGAGCUUAUCUUUAAAAAGGCAGAUACUUUAAUAAAUGCCCACCAUAAAUGCUGCCAGUUGACUGUAGCAACAAGUGUGGACAGAGCAGGAGAAGUAGGCUGGGAAUCAGAUUCCAGCUCUGCCACAGGUUUUCUGGGUGGUUAGAAGAGCUCCAUUUCUCUCACUGGGCCUCAUCUGCAAAAUGAGAAGUGGGAUGAAAUUAAGACUAAUACUUUCCUCUUGAAACUCCUGGGCUCUCUGAAGCUGUCCACUGUUAACACAGAAAACCUGAAAUCCCAAACACCAAUUUAUCCCACACUCACAAAACCUGGCAACUUCUAGCCCUCGACCACUGAGCCUGCUGGUUUUCAGCUUUCCCAUAAGAGACCAACUCUGUUUGACCCCAGUUGUGAAAGGGAACACAGCACCAUGAUGAGGACUCCAAAAAUGGGCCCAGCUUUUGCCAGGGGGCUCCUGGAGCUGGUCCCCAUUAGGCUUGGAGUUAAAAGCAUCUUAGCAUCUAGCAACAGCUGAUUUUUUUAGCCUGGGUGAACUUUGUACUUAUUUCCCAGGUGGACACAGGCCUAGUGGAUCCCCAGCCUUGCUACUGGAUAGCAGAGCCCAGGGCAAGAGGGUGCUCAAGGUUAAGGUUGCCAGAGAAAAUAGAGAACGCCCAGUUAAAUCUGAAUUUCACAUAAUUGAGGAAUUUUUUUCUUAACAAACAUUUAACAAUGUUAUAUUAGUUUCAGGUGUACAACUUAGUGAUCAAGAAUUGUUUUAAUACAGGGGUGUCCCAUAGAAUAUUUGGAACAUACCUAUGCUGAGAUGUUAUUUGUUGUUUACCUGAUAUUCAAAUUUAACCAGACGUUCUGCAUUUAUUUUAUUUUUAUUUUUUUAGAUGUCCUGUAUUUUUAUUUGCUAAACCCAUGAACUCUAAUCGGGACACCUUCUCAAACGCCCAGGCAAGGCACUACAGCGCGAAACCUGGAUAUUCCGAGAUCCGCCGUGACUCCUCCCAGCCGCCAGGUGGAGCUGAAGCCACUUCUGGCCUUCGCCUGCUCGCAAGGCCCAGGAAGUGACGUCACCCACAUCCUGGCCUGCAGGACUUUGCGACGGAAAUGGCGGGUGCGUAAUGUUCGGUAGUAACCCUAAAAAUAGGAGCCCACUGUCGCCUGGACCGGCUGUGGCCCUGCUCAAGGACUGCUUCUGUAAGUUCUCGCAGCGCAGACUUACCCAUAGCUCGAGGCUGCAGCUUCUCGCGCGGGAUACCGGAAGUACCCGCGGGUGGGCGGGGCGAGGCCCGGAAGUGCGGUUGCGUGGGGCGGGGCUGGGGUACCCGGGUGUGAAUUGGCGUUCGGAGGAGCGCGGGAGAAACUGGAGUGAGAAAUGCGGCUUUAGCUCCGCCCGGCUUCCGCCCAGACCGCGGAGAUACCUGGACCCAAGAGAGAAACAUCAAUGGGAGACAGAAACAUCAACUAGUUGCCUCCCCUAUGCACCCUGAGCAAGGAUCAAAUGCGAAAUGCUUCAACCAACUGAGCCACCUGUCCGGGGCUCUUCUUCUAUUUUAAAAAUGAAUUAAGACAACAGUGAAGUGCUCAGCUACAAACUGCUGCAGACCCUAGAUGGGAAGGAUUUCACAAAAGGAAAAGUGAUGGUGGCGAGUGGAAGUAGAAGGCUUCGUGAAGUAGUGGGAUUUAGGUCUAAGAAAACAAUUCACCUCAUCAGAAUAACACAUACCUGGAAUAUGUCUACAGUCUCUUUAAGAGCACUUUGGCAAUAAAUAUCAUUGUCAAAAACGUGA